AGGAUAAACGCUGGCGGCGUGCAUGAGACAUGCAAGUCGAACGGACGAUCAGGGCUUGCUCUGAUCGUUAGUGGCGGACGGCUGAGUAACGCGUAGGUGACCUGCCCCGAAGUGGGGAAUAACUGCCCGAAAGGGUGGCUAAUACCGCAUGUGGUGGUGUGUUCAUUCACACCAGUAAAGCCGCAAGGCGCUUCGGGAGGGGCCUGCGUCCGAUUAGCUCGUUGGUGGGGUAACGGCUCACCAAGGCGACGAUCGGUAGGUGGUCUGAGAGGACGAUCACCCAGACUGGGACUGAGACACGGCCCAGACUCCUACGGGAGGCAGCAGUCGGGAAUUUUGCGCAAUGGACGAAAGUCUGACGCAGCAACGCCGCGUGAGGGAUGAAGGCCUUCGGGUUGUAAACCUCUUUCGGUAGGGAUGAAGCCUUCGGGUGACAGUACCUGCAGAAGAAGCACCGGCUAACGUACGUGCCAGCAGCCGC
rnacentral:rRNA from 1 species